UACGUAGGGGGCUAGCGUUGUCCGGAAUCAUUGGGCGUAAAGCGCGUGUAGGCGGCCCGGUAAGUCCGCUGUGAAAGUCGGGGGCUCAACCCUCGAAAGCCGGUGGAUACUGCGGGGCUAGAGUGCGGAAGGGGCAACUGGAAUUCUCGGUGUAGCGGUGAAAUGCGUAGAUAUCGAGAGGAACACCUGCGGCGAAGGCGGGUUGCUGGGCCGACACUGACGCUGAUGCGCGAAAGCCAGGGGAGCGAACGGG
rnacentral:rRNA from 1 species